UCAGACGAUGCGUCAUGCAUAUCAAUAAGCGGAGGAAAAGAAACUAACAAGGAUUCCCCUAGUAACGGCGAGUGAAGCGGGAAGAGCUCAAAUUUGAAAUCUUAGAGGGUUUCCCUUUACGAAUUGUAGUUUAAAGAAGUGUUUUCUGCUGAAGUUUUGGUAAAAGUUCUUUGGAAUAGGACAUCAUAGAGGGUGAGAAUCCCGUAUUUGACCAUUAUUUUCAGCUUUGUGAUACACUUUCAAAGAGUCGGAUUGUUUGGGAAUGCAGUCCAAAAUGGGUGGUAAAUUUCAUCUAAAGCUAAAUAUUGGCGAGAGACCGAUAGGCGAACAAGUACCGUGAGGGAAAGAUGAAAAGAACUUUGAAAAGAGAGCUAAAUAGUACGUGAAAUUGUCAAAAGGGAAGCGUUUAACACCAGUGUUGUUUUCUGAAAAUCAACCUCUGUUAGCUUUAUGCAUGUUUGUUUAGACCUAAUCAGCUAUCUUGCAUGUUCUAUUGUUUGCAGUGGUGCACUUUUCAGUUUACAGGUCAACAUCAGUUUUUUUUACCGUAAAAAAGUUAAAGAAAGGUAGCUCAUGGCUCCGGUCGUGAGUGUUAUAGUCUUUUUCCUAUGCGGUAGGAGAGACUGAGGUCUGCAGUGUAGGCUAUUUGGCUAGAUACUCAGGUGCUAUGUGAUACCAUUUCAUAAACAACUUGUUGAUUAUGUUUUGUCUAUUGCAUACUCGCUUGUACUAUCAUACCUACGCUUAGGAUGUUGACUGAUAUGUAGUCGUA
rnacentral:rRNA from 1 species